rnacentral:rRNA from 1 species
GGUUUACCUGUGUGACUGCGUACCUUUUGUAUAAUGGGUCAGCGACUUAUAUUCUGUAGCAAGGUUAACCGAAUAGGGGAGCCGGAGGGAAACCGAGUCUUAAUUGGGCGUUAAGUUGCAGGGUAUAGACCCGAAACCCGGUGAUCUAGCCAUGGGCAGGUUGAAGGUUGGGUAACACUAACUGGAGGACCGAACCGACUAAUGUUGAAAAAUUAGCGGAUGACCUGUGGCUGGGGGUGAAAGGCCAAUCAAACCGGGAGAUAGCUGGUUCUCCCCGAAAGCUAUUUAGGUAGCGCCUCGUGAACUCAUCUCCGGGGGUAGAGCACUGUUUCGGCUAGGGGGCCAUCCCGGCUUACCAACCCGAUGCAAACUGCGAAUACCGGAGAAUGUUAUCACGGGAGACACACGGCGGGUGCUAACGUCCGUCGUGAAGAGGGAAACAACCCAGACCGCCAGCUAAGGUCCCAAAGUCAUGGUUAAGUGGGAAACGAUGUGGGAAGGCCCAGACAGCCAGGAUGUUGGCUUAGAAGCAGCCAUCAUUUAAAGAAAGCGUAAUAGCUCACUGGUCGAGUCGGCCUGCGCGGAAGAUGUAACGGGGCUAAACCAUGCACCGAAGCUGCGGCAGCGACGCUGAUGCGUUGUUGGGUAGGGGAGCGUUCUGUAAGCCUGCGAAGGUGGCCUGUGAGGGUUGCUGGAGGUAUCAGAAGUGCGAAUGCUGACAUAAGUAACGAUAAAGCGGGUGAAAAGCCCGCUCGCCGGAAGACCAAGGGUUCCUGUCCAACGUUAAUCGGGGCAGGGUGAGUCGACCCCUAAGGCGAGGCCGAAAGGCGUAGUCGAUGGGAAACGGGUUAAUAUUCCCGUACUUGGUGUUACUGCGAAGGGGGGACGGAGAAGGCUAUGUUGGCCGGGCGACGGUUGUCCCGGUUUAAGCGUGUAGGUGUGUGUUCCAGGUAAAUCCGGUUCACUUUAACACUGAGGCGUGA